ACUGAUUAGUUAAAACAGGAACUUUUGUAUUUUUUCGAUAGUUCAACACUGGCUGUAUGAUGGCAAUAGACAAAAUAUGAGUGAAGUUCCUCAUAAAUGCGAAAAAUUAUGUGUCAAAGUGAUCAACACAACGGCUCUGAUUUUGUGACGAAAGAAUAUUUCUAUUUUUUUAUUGUUGUCAUUACAAUUAGUGAUCAAUACGGUAUCUCCGUGCAGUGUUAUUAUUUUCCUGUUGUUGAAACAUAAGAGGAUUACUUUGGACAAUGCCGCGCAUUUAUAAACCUGAACCUGGAGGCUUAUGGCCCGCUCCAAGUUUGAACUCUCAACCAAUGAGAGCGCCAAACGUGAUCGAUGUGUUUAAUGAAGUCUAUCGUAAUGACAUGGUAGAGGCCCUGGAUUUUAAUGCGCUUUAACCAGCGUCAAGUUUUAUGGGAUUGUGAAAUCUCUUUAUACUAAAAGUGUACUAUCAUAAUAUUGUGACAUCAAUCGAAGUCUUGUUGUUGUAUCAUCCUCAUUUUUAUUUGUGACAAAAUAAAAAUACGUUGUUA